rnacentral:rRNA from 1 species
GAAUUUUGGACAAUGGGCGAAAGCCUGAUCCAGCAAUGCCGCGUUCAGGAUGAAGGCCUUCGGGUUGUAAACUGCUUUUGUACGGAACGAAAAGCUUUGGGCUAAUACCCUGGAGUCACUCCGGUACCGUUAGAAUAAGCACCGGCUAACUACGUCGCAGCAGCCGCGGUAAUACGUAGGGUGCAAGCGUUAAUCGGAAUUCCUGGGCGUAAAGCGUGCGCAGGCGGUUUUGUAAGACAGAGGUGAAAUCCCCGGGCACAACCUGGGAACUGCCUUUGUGACUGCAAGGAUAGAGUACGGCAGGGGGGGGUGGAAUUCCGCGUGUAGCAGUGAAAUGCGUAGAUAUGCGGAGGAACACCGAUGGCGAAGGCAACCCCCUGGGCCUGUACUGACGCUCAUGCACGAAAGCGUGGGGAGCAA